GGGCCCGCACAAGCGGUGGAGUAUGUGGUUUAAUUCGAUGCAACGCGAAGAACCUUACCAGGGUUUGACAUCCUGCGAAUCUCUUGGAAACAGGAGAGUGCCUUCGGGAACGCAGUGACAGGUGGUGCAUGGCUGUCGUCAGCUCGUGUCGUGAGAUGUUGGGUUAAGUCCCGCAACGAGCGCAACCCACGUCUUUAGUUGCCAGCAUUUAGUUGGGCACUCUAGAGAGACUGCCGGUGAUAAACCGUGAGGAAGGUGGGGAUGACGUCAAAUCAUCACGGCCCCUUACGUCCUGGGCCACACACGUGCUACAAUGGUAGGUACAGAGGGCAGCAAGUUCGCGAGGACAAGCAAAUCCCAUAAACCGUGGCUCAGUUCAGAUCGUAGGCUGCAACUCGCCUACGUGAAGGAGGAAUCGCUAGUAAUCGCAGGUC
rnacentral:rRNA from 1 species